rnacentral:rRNA from 1 species
CCUCCUUUCUUCCUCCUUGCGGCAUCUUGGUCAAUGGGCGAGAGCCUGAACCAGCCAAGUCGCGUGAGGGAAGACGGUCCUAUGGAUUGUAAACCUCUUUUGCCGGGGAGCAAAAAGCGGUACGCGUACCGCAUCGAGAGUAACCGGAGAAAAGCAUCGGCUAACUCCGUGCCAGCAGCCGCGGUAAUACGGGGGAUGCGAGCGUUAUCCGGAGUUAUUGGGUUAAAAGGGUGCGCAGGGGGCGAGUGAAGUCAGCGGUAAAAUUUCGGGGGUCAACCCCGACAAGCCGUUGAAACUGGCUUGCUAGAGUGGGCGAGAAGUAUGCGGAAUGCGUGGUGUAGCGGUGAAAUGCAUAGAUAUCACGCAGAACUCCGAGUGCGAAGGCAGCAUACCGGCGCCCAACUGACGCUCAGGCACGAAAGCGUGGGUAUCGAACAGGAUUAGAUACCCCAGUAGUC